UACGUAGGGUGCAGGCGUUAAUCGGAAUUACUGGGCGUAAAGCGUGCGCAGGCGGUUUGUUAAGUCCGUUGUGAAAGCCCCGAGCUCAACUUGGGAAUUGCAGUGGAUACUGGCAGGCUGGAGUACGGUAGAGGAAGGUGGAAUUCCCGGUGUAGCAGUGAAAUGCGUAGAUAUCGGGAGGAACACCAGUGGCGAAGGCGGCCUUCUGGACCAGUACUGACGCUCAUGCACGAAAGCGUGGGGAGCAAACAGG
rnacentral:rRNA from 1 species